GCUCAUAUAGCUCAGUUGGUAGAGCGCAUCCUUGGUAAGGAUGAGGUCGCCGGUUCAAAUCCGGCUAUGAGCUCCA
rnacentral:tRNA from 1 species